ensembl:rRNA 5S_rRNA 5S ribosomal RNA
UGCCACAGCAGUUUCACCCUGCAGCCCAAGACCAGUCACUCACUGAAUCUAUGAAGAGCUGAGCCCUUUCAGUACCUGUAUGGGUGACCACAUGGGAAAAUAAGGUUGCUGUUGGAA